GCAGAUGGGCUUGGGUUAAUGGCCUUGAAGACACACACUUGGCCUGGGUCACUGGCCCUGAAUUAGCACCCUGGGCCUGGGUGCUUGGCCCUGAAGACACACUCUUGGCCUAGAUCACUGGCCCUCAAGUCACACCAUUGGCCUUGUUGUCUGGCCUAGAAGACACACUCUG